GUUAGACAAACAAGUGGACUCAAAAGCCUGCGUUAUUUACUUUUUUAAAUUUUCCGUUUGUGUGGACACAGCGUGUCUGCAGUCCUUGGUCUGUGCUUCUUUCCUCACCAUAGUGUCAUUGUCUUAUCUCUACCAGUGGUGCACAAGUGUCAAAGCCAGGGAGACUCGUAGCCAGCAUCACAGUGGUUUGACUGGGCUGCUCCUGAUGUUCAGGUCUUUCUACUUUAAAAGAUGAAAGUGAAGCCCUUUGGGUAUUAAGAUAAGUACUUUCCUAUGUUUAUAUUAUGUUCUGCUUUGGCCCAGAUAUCCAUAUCUAAUUUUAAUAACUUAAACUAAAGCUCCUGGAAUAG